UUUAUGGAGAGUUUGAUCCUGGCUCAGGAUGAACGCUGGCGGCGUGCCUAAUACAUGCAAGUCGAACGCACUAGUUUACUAGUGAGUGGCGAACGGGUGAGUAACACGUAGGUAACCUGCCCUUAAGACGAGGAUAACCAUUGGAAACGAUGGCUAAGACUGGAUAGGAAUAUUUGAGGCAUCUUAAAUAUUUUAAAAGACCUAGCAAUAGGUAUGCUUAAGGAGGGGCCUGCGGCGCAUUAGUUAGUUGGUGAGGUGAGAGCUCACCAAGACGAUGAUGCGUAGCCGGACUGAGAGGUUGAACGGCCACAUUGGGACUGAGAAACGGCCCAAACUCCUACGGGAGGCAGCAGUAGGGAAUUUUCGGCAAUGGAGGAAACUCUGACCGAGCAACGCCGCGUGAAUGACGAAGUACUUCGGUAUGUAAAGUUCUUUUAUCAAGGAAGAAUGACUCGUGGAAAAACGAGAGUGACGGUACUUGAUGAAUAAGCCCCGGCUAACUAUGUGCCAGCAGCCGCGGUAAUACAUAGGGGGCAAGCGUUAUCCGGAAUUAUUGGGCGUAAAGGGUGCGUAGGCGGUCAUUUAAGUCUUUGGUGUAAGUGCAAGGCUCAACCUUGUGAUGCUAAGGAAACUGGAUGACUUGAGUGUGAUAGAGGUAAGUGGAAUUCCAUGUGUAGCGGUAAAAUGCGUAAAUAUAUGGAGGAACACCAGUGGCGAAGGCGGCUUACUGGGUCACAACUGACGCUGAGGCACGAAAGCGUGGGGAGCAAACAGGAUUAGAUACCCUGGUAGUCCACGCCGUAAACGAUGAGUACUAAGUGUUGGAGAAAUUCAGUGCUGUAGUUAACGCAAUAAGUACUCCGCCUGAGUAGUACGUACGCAAGUAUGAAACUCAAAGGAAUUGACGGGACCCCGCACAAGCGGUGGAUCAUGUUGUUUAAUUCGAUGAUACGCGAAAAACCUUACCAGGUCUUGACAUCCCAUGCAAAGCUUAAGAGAUUAAGUGGAGGUUAUCAUGGAGACAGGUGGUGCAUGGUUGUCGUCAGCUCGUGUCGUGAGAUGUUGGGUUAAGUCCCGCAACGAGCGCAACCCUUAUUGCUAGUUACCAUCAUUAAGUUGGGGACUCUAGCGAGACUGCCAGUGAUAAACUGGAGGAAGGUGGGGAUGACGUCAAAUCAUCAUGCCCCUUAUGACCUGGGCUACAAACGUGAUACAAUGGCUGAAACAAAGGGCAGCGAAGCAGUGAUGUGAAGCGAAACCCAAAAAAGCAGUCUCAGUUCGGAUUGAAGUCUGCAACUCGACUUCAUGAAGUCGGAAUCGCUAGUAAUCGCGAAUCAGAAUGUCGCGGUGAAUACGUUCUCGGGGUUUGUACACACCGCCCGUCAAACCACGAAAGUCGACAAUACCCAAAGCCGGUGGCCUAACUCUUCGGAGAGGGAGCCGUUUAAGGUAGGGUUGAUGAUUGGGGUUAAGUCGUAACAAGGUAUCCCUACGGGAACGUGGGGAUGGAUCACCUCCUUUCUAAGGA
rnacentral:rRNA from 1 species